UCCAAACAGUCCAAUGUGGCAAUUUCUUUAUCCUCGAUCAAAAUACAAACAAACAUUAAUUCAACCCAAAAGAAAAAUUAUGGCAGUGAAAAUUUCAGCUUCUGCUCCUUAUGUCAAACGCUCUUGGAGAAGAGAUGCUGGUGCUUCUUCUUUGAUUCCCAAACUUCUCAAGAACCCAAAAACAUUAAUGGCGUUGGCUUUGCUUUUCAUUGACUCCCAUCCUCGUCUCCCUAAUCAUCGCCUACGUCCCUUUAAAGUUCCAUAAAAAUCCACUCUCUAACUUUUUCUUCCCUGAAUAAUUAAACUCUUUGGUGACAUGUCACGGUUUCAAUUUUCAGAUACGGGGAUAGAUUGGGCCGCUACAAUGUCGCAGUGGCGCAGUUUCGUUAAAGAUGAAUCUCCUCUAUGCUGCACCUCCUUUUAUACUCAUGCUAAGGCAAUGAAUAUUAGUGGGGUAAAAUCAGCUUUAGCUGGUGUGGCACUUGUGCAGAUUAAAUUCUUUUUCUUUCUUAACAUGGGAACUGGGAAGAAAAUAUAAAUCUCCAUGCAUCUUAACUUACUUUCAACAUGGUUAGGCGAGUUGGACUACUUCACUUAAUGUUGUGGCAGGAGGCAAUGUCUGCCAGUAUGUUGAUUGACUUUUACAUACUCAGUAAAUGGUUCUGCAGAUUGUGCUGGGGCUGCCAAUUUUAGUAUCAUAUCCAAUUGAAUAUAUAUUGUGAGCCUUUAAUCUUGGACGUGUCUUCAUCCACUUCUGGUAAGUUUAUAGCAUUGAAAAUGCUCACCCUUCUCCUUAGUUUCCAGUUACUAACAAAUUGACAGGAUUAUUCAGUAGCAUCUUUAAUGAAUUUUAGGUAAUUUUUCUUGUAUUAUUGAUAU